GGUUUGUGGCUCAGAGGUAGAGCUCCCGCCUAGCAUGUGUGAGGUGCUGGGUUUGAUCCUCAGCACCA
rnacentral:tRNA from 1 species